rnacentral:lncRNA from 1 species
CAAAGGAGUCAGUGUUUCCCUGCUCUUUGCUAACAAAUUAUGUGAAUUUUAUACUAUCUUGUCCAGUGGCCUACAAUGCAAUGCAUCUGAGUAGUUACCAAGAGAGGAAAGGGAGAGAAUAAAGAAAUGCCUUUCUUUCCUUUGAGCCUUGCCAUUCUCUGGCAGCACAGCUCUGCAUGCAGGAAACAAUUUGUGUCUACGCAAAUCAAACUGGGAGGUUAACCUUUUGUUACCAGAACCGGGGCACUGGUACCUGCCAAGUUCUCCCUCAGGCCACAGUGUGGGAAGUUUAUCUCCAGGAGAUACCUCACAAGCUGGAAUUAAUGCCACAUGUGUGCCGUGGCUGCUCAGAAGGUCAUUAUUAGUCAUCCUGGCUCUGGUUCUUGGCUAUGCUUUUGUGAGUACACACUGGUCUACGGGAUCUAUACAGUGAAAGGCAGUCCAUAGCAAUCCUUUGCUGUUGUCAUAACAGUUCCUAUGCUGCAUAGGAUGCAAAGCUGUAAGCAAGGGAGCAUGGUCCAAAC